rnacentral:rRNA from 1 species
GUGUCAGCCGCCGCGGUAAUACGGAGGGUGCAAACGUUGCUCGGAAUCAUUGGGCGUAAAGCGCACGUAGGCGGCUCACCAAGUCGGACGUGAAAGCCCUCGGCUUAACCGAGGAAGUGCAUUCGAAACUAGUGAGCUUGAGUACGGGAGAGGAUCGCGGAAUUCCCGGUGUAGAGGUGAAAUUCGUAGAUAUCGGGAGGAACACCAGUGGCGAAGGCGGCGAUCUGGACCGAUACUGACGCUGAGGUGCGAAAGCGUGGGGAGCAAACAGGAUUAGAAACCCGCGUAGUCC